AUUCAGCUGACGAGUUCCAAAUAGGACGAAACGCGCAUCCUGGAU
rnacentral:hammerhead_ribozyme from 1 species